rnacentral:lncRNA from 1 species
AUGAAGCAUAGGUUUGGAUUUCUAGAGACAGAUGUGCUGGAAACAAGACCUCAGAGAAGCUUUUUUCUUACUCCACUGAGUAAGGUAAAAAUGCAAUACCUGAACACUGGAUUCUUUAAGCAUGCAUUGGUUUUAAUUU